UUAAACGGAAAGUAAGUCCAUAAAUGGUCGAUGGUAUCCAAGGAACGAAGUUCAGCAUUGACGUCUUUACUUUUCUCAAGGUAAACGUGCAAUGACUUGUGUUUAUCCUUUGCUUCGUAAACAUACUGCAGAAUUGGCUCACAGCCAAAGACUUUUACACGACAACCAACAAUAUGUAAUUCUCCGGUUUCCGUAGGAGUUACAGUAAGUGUAGUACGCUCUAUAGAUAGUGGCCGCAUCGUAAAAGUAGAAUGUGAACAUUUUGCAGAAACCCCUUUCGUUUCUAAAUGAACAUCUUGCACUUCAACUGAUACACUAAGAGGGUUACGAAAAUAGAUCGAAAACGCAACUUGUUCAUCGACAACGAGGACUGAUUUCGAUUGGUUUUGGUCCUGUCUUCUAUUAAAUGGAUUAUAGAUGAAUGGUCCUUUUUCAAUUGAUUUUGGUAACCCGUUUCUUAACCGUUGAUGAAUUAAUUCGGCAUUCUCGGACGAACCAAUGAACUUUAAAUCCGUUAUCAUAAAUGGGUCCCAGUAUGGAGCGUUAAUGUGUAUACCAGCAUUGCUAGCAAAUAGGUACGUUUUUCUAAAAGCUUUAAACAUAGAGAUUUGUUGGGAAGAAGAAGCAGUUUGAACAGAAGUGAGAAAAAACAAAGAAAUUAAAAGAAGAAUACUGCGAUAGUCAGAUAGAGAAUCACAAAGGGAUAUAAGCUCAUUAAGAACAUCAAAUUGUAAAUUUGACCAACCCCAUUUUGUUA